GCCUGGCUGGCUCAGUUGGAAGAGCGUGCGACUACUGAUCUCAGGGUUGUGAGUUCGAGCCCCAUGUUGGCCA
rnacentral:tRNA from 1 species